rnacentral:rRNA from 1 species
UACGUAGGGUCCGAGCGUUGUCCGGAAUUAUUGGGCGUAAAGAGCUCGUAGGCGGUUCGUCAAGUCGGGAGUGAAAACUCGGGGCUUAACCCCGAGCCUGCUUCCGAUACGGGCAGACUAGAGGUAGGCAGGGGAGAGCGGAACUCCUGGUGUAGCGGUGGAAUGCGCAGAUAUCAGGAAGAACACCGGUGGCGAAGGCGGCUCUCUGGGCCUUACCUGACGCUGAGGAGCGAAAGCGUGGGUAGCAAACAGG